GGACAGUUUUGAUACAGCAUGCCAUGAACAGACCAGGAAAAGUGGAAGUAAAGACUCUUCAAAAGCAGCAUGUGCUUAAUCAGAAACAAGUUCUGAAGGAAGACUGUGGACAAAUCUAA
rnacentral:lncRNA from 1 species